rnacentral:rRNA from 1 species
CAUACCUUAAUGUUGCCUCGGCGGAUCAGCCCGCUCCCCGUAAAACGGGACGGCCCGCCAGAGGACCCAAACUCUAAUGUUUCUUAUUGUAACUUCUGAGUAAAACAAACAAAUAAAUCAAAACUUUCAACAACGGAUCUCUUGGUUCUGGCAUCGAUGAAGAACGCAGCAAAAUGCGAUAAGUAAUGUGAAUUGCAGAAUUCAGUGAAUCAUCGAAUCUUUGAACGCACAUUGCGCCCGCUGGUAUUCCGGCGGGCAUGCCUGUUCGAGCGUCAUUUCAACCCUCAAGCCCCCGGGUUUGGUGUUGGGGAUCGGCUCUGCCUCACGGCGGUGCCGCCCCCGAAAUACAUUGGCGGUCUCGCUGCAGCCUCCAUUGCGUAGUAGCUAACACCUCGCAACUGGAACGCGGCGCGGCCAUGCCGUAAAACCCCAACUUCUGAAUGUUGACCUCGGAUCAGGUAGGAAUACCCGCUGAACUUAAGCAUAUCAUAACCGGAAGGAAAACUGAUACAAAGUUUCC